UACGAAGGGUGCAAGCGUUAAUCGGAAUUACUGGGCGUAAAGCGUGCGUAGGCGGUGAGUUAAGUCUGUUGUGAAAUCCCCGGGCUCAACCUGGGAAUGGCAAUGGAUACUGGCUCGCUAGAGUGUGAUAGAGGAUGGUGGAAUUCCCGGUGUAGCGGUGAAAUGCGUAGAGAUCGGGAGGAACACCAGUGGCGAAGGCGGCACCCUGGGCCGGUACUGACGCUGAGGCACGAAAGCGUGGGGAGCAAACAGG
rnacentral:rRNA from 1 species